GACGAACGCUGGCGGCGUGCUUAACACAUGCAAGUCGAACGGAAAGGCCCUGCUUUUGUGGGGUGCUCGAGUGGCGAACGGGUGAGUAACACGUGAGUAAACUGCCCUUGACUUUGGGAUAACUUCAGGAAACUGGGGCUAAUAUCGGAUAGGAGCUCCUGCUGCAUGGUGGGGGUUGGAAAGUUUCGGCGGUUGGGUAUGGACUCGCGGCUUAUCAGCUUGUUUGUCGGGUAGUGGAUUACCAAGGCUUUGACGGGUAGCCGGCCUGAGAGGGUGGCCGGCCACAUUGGGACUGAGAUACGGCCCAGACUGCUACGGGAGGCAGCAGUGGGGAAUAUUGCACAAUGGGCGGAAGCCUGAGGCAGCAACGCCGCGUGCGGGAUGACGGCCUACGGGUUGUAAACCGCUUUCGCCUGUGACGAAGCGUGAGUGACGGUAAUGGGUAAAGAAGCACCGGCUAACUACGUG
rnacentral:rRNA from 1 species